rnacentral:rRNA from 1 species
GGAUGAACGCUGACAGAAUGCUUAACACAUGCAAGUCGACUGGAAUUCACCUUCGGGUGAUAGUACGGUGGCGGACGGGUGAGUAACGCGUAAAGAACUUGCCCUCUAGACUGGGACAACUGUUGGAAACGACAGCUAAUACCGGAUAUUAUGAGAACCUCGCAUGGGGGACUCAUGAAAGCUAUAUGCGCUAGAGGAGAGCUUUGCGUGCCAUUAGCUAGUUGGUGGGGUAACGCCCAGGCACGAUGGCUAGCCGGCCUGAGAGGGU